GACGAACCGUGCGAACGUUGUUCGGAAUCACUGGGCUUAAAGGGCGCGUAGGCGGGCUGACAAGUCUGGGGUGAAAUCCCACGGCUCAACCGUGGAACUGCCUCAGAUACUGUCGGCCUCGAGGGAGGUAGGGGCGUGCGGAACUAACGGUGGAGCGGUGAAAUGCGUUGAUAUCGUUUGGAACUCCGGUGGCGAAAGCGGCGCGCUGGACCUCUGCUGACGCUGAGGCGCGAAAGCUAGGGGAGCAAACGGG
rnacentral:rRNA from 1 species